CCUGCACGAAGUCGGAAUUGCUAGUAAUCGCGGAUCAGCAUGCCGCGGUGAAUACGUUCCCGGGCCUUGUACACACCGCCCGUCACACCAUGGGAGCCGGUAAUACCCGAAGUCAGUAGUCCAACCUCGUGAGGACGCUGCCGAAGGUAGGAUUGGCGACUGGGGUGAAGUCGUAACAAGGUAGC
rnacentral:rRNA from 1 species